GGGCACCACCAGGAGUGGAGCCUGCGGCUUAAUUUGACUCAACACGGGAAAACUCACCCGGCCCGGACACUAGGAGGAUUGACAGACUGACUAGCUCUUUCUUGAUUCAGUGGGUGGUGGUGCAUGGCCGUUCUUAGUUGGUGGAGCGAUUUGUCUGGUUAAUUCCGAUAACGAACGAGACUCUAGCCUACUAGUUAGCCGGCCCGGUCGUUAUGCGCCCGGGCAGCGAGCUUCUUAGAGGGACAGACGGCGAGUAAGCCGUACGAGAUAGAGCAAUAACAGGUCUGUGAUGCCCUUAGAUGUCCGGGGCCGCACGCGCGCUACACUGAAGAGAUCAGCGUGCAUGUGCUUCCUACUCCGAAAGGAGCGGGAAACCGAGUGAACCUCUUUCGUGCAUGGGAUUGGAGAUUGUACUUAUUCUCCAUGAACUACGAAUUCCCCAGUAAGCACAAGUUAUCAGCUUGUGCUGAUUACGUCCCUGCCCUUUGUGACACAUCGCCCGUCGCUACUACAAAUUGG
rnacentral:rRNA from 1 species